rnacentral:rRNA from 1 species
GAUGAACGCUGGCGGCGUGCCUAAUACAUGCAAGUCGAGCGAACGGACGAGAAGCUUGCUUCUCUGAUGUUAGCGGCGGACGGGUGAGUAACACGUGGAUAACCUACCUAUAAGACUGGGAUAACUUCGGGAAACCGGAGCUAAUACCGGAUAAUAUUUUGAACCGCAUGGUUCAAAAGUGAAAGACGGUCUUGCUGUCACUUAUCGAUGGUUCCGCGCUGCAUUAGCUAGUUGGUAAGGUAACGGCUUACCAAGGCAACGAUGCAUAGCCGACCUGAGAGGGUGAUAGGCCACACGGGAACUGAGACACGGUCCAGACUACUAAGGGAGGCAGCAGUAGGGAAUCUUACGCAAUAGGCGAAGGCAUGACGGAGCAACGGCGCGUGAGUGAUGAAGGUCUUCGGAUCGUAAAACUCUGUUAUUAGGGAAGAACAUAUGUGUAAGUAACUGUGCACAUCUUGACGGUAACUAAUCAGAAAGCCACGGCUAACUACGUG